rnacentral:rRNA from 1 species
GAUGAACGCUGGCGGCGUGCCUAAUACAUGCAAGUAGAACGCUGAAGGAGGAGCUUGCUCUUCUGGAUGAGUUGCGAACGGGUGAGUAACGCGUAGGUAACCUGCCUGGUAGCGGGGGAUAACUAUUGGAAACGAUAGCUAAUACCGCAUGACAACAGUUAUUGCAUGAUAACUGUUUAAAAGGGGCAACUGCUCCACUACCAGAUGGACCUGCGUUGUAUUAGCUAGUUGGUGAGGUAACGGCUCACCAAGGCGACGAUACAUAGCCGACCUGAGAGGGUACGAGGCAAAGCUGAGACGGGGGCACGGCCCAGAAUCCUGCGGGAGGCAGCAGUAGGGAAUCUUUGGCAAUGGAAGGAAGGCUGAACGAGCAACGCCGGGUGAGAGAAGGAGGUUGUCGGGUCGUAAAGCUCUGUUGUUAGAGAAGAACGAGUGUGAGAGUGAAAAGUUCACACUGUGACGGUAUCUGACCAGAAAGGGACGGCUAACUACGUG